rnacentral:rRNA from 1 species
UACGUAGGUGGCAAGCGUUGUCCGGAUUUACUGGGCGUAAAGAGCGCGCAGGCGGUUGACUAAGUCGAAUGUGAAAGCCCCCGGCUCAACUGGGGAGGGUCAUUCGAUACUGAUCGACUUGAAGGCAGGAGAGAGAAGUGGAAUUCCCGGUGUAGUGGUGAAAUUCGUAGAUAUUGGGAAGAACACCGGUGGCGAAGGCGGCGACCUGGUCCGAUACUGACGCUGAGGCGCGAAAGCGUGGGGAGCGAACAGG